GCGGGCGGGAGGAGAUGAUGGAGGCGGUGGGAGCACUUCCUUAUAGGUCCGGUGAGAGAGAAACCGCCGUGACGAGGUGGCCGAGUGGUUAAGGCGAUGGACUGCUAAUCCAUUGUGCUCUGCACGCGUGGGUUCGAAUCCCAUCCUCGUCGGGAAAAAAGGUAUUUUUUUUUCCCCCUCACACCAAAAAUUAAUUUUUUUCUAACAUUUCCAAGGGGACUUCUCCCUCUCCUCCUCUCCCUUCGGCCUUUACGGGGGGAGAAGGAAAAGCAGAAGGGCACCCGGGACAGACACGACCCAGCAUCCUGAGGGAUUUAGGAUCACAAGGCAGGAUUGAGUCCCACAGAUUCCAGGGGUCGCAGCCGGGAGGGAGUGUCAUGAGGGAUCUAGGGGUCACCCAGGAUAGCAUCCCAAGGCAUUUAGGGGUCACAGCCAGGACAGAGUGACCCGAGGGACUGAAGGGGCUCACCCAGCUUCCUGAGGUGCCUCGCCGUGGGGUGGCCUGACUUACCUCCUUCCCUCAGGGCAUGGCUCUGCCACGGAGCUUCCAGCUGUGACACUGGGAACAAACCCCUUUUAAUGUCAACCUCCUCUGGGAUCCCAACAAAACGUCCUGAUCAUGCCCAAUCCUGGCCAGAUCACAACGGUGCAGCCUCACAAAAGGUUCCCAGCCACAAUGGACGGGUUAAAACACAACAGGACAGGAGUUACUGUGAGGAAGGACACACACUUUGUAUGGAAAACUUUAUGCCAACAACCAGGAUCCAGUAUUUACCUCAGACCCAGUCUCAGAUAGGAAUUUAUCACAGGGCAUCUCCAAGAGCAACAUUUUCCCAGCUAACAAAACAUCAAACACUGUUUUGACAAAAUAAAUAAAAUAAAAUAAAAUGUAAGAUCCUUGUGAAAUAAAUCCUAAAUCUUCAUAGUUCAAAGAAUCUUGGGAACAGAAGCCCAGGGGUUUCUUGACCAGGAAUUUAAAAGUUGCCAACUGCAGGCAUUAUUCCAGGAAAAGAGGAAGAAGCAGUGCUGAGCUCCAGUUCCUCAUCAGGCCCUUUGGCCCCAGUGUCAGGAAAAUCCCUGACAGAGCCUUUUUUUUUGUAACAGAAAUUACUUACCAAAAAUCCUCCCAGCAUAACCUGGGACAUAUCAAAGUCCAAUUUAACUGUCAUCCCUAAAUCCAUUCCCACUCCCCUAUAUCCAAAUCCAGUAACAGCUCCAGCACCCUCUUUAAUACACUGAAGGUGCCCAAGUUCCAUUUAUUUCCAUGAAAGGUGUAUUCCAAUGCAGCAAAAAUUUGGAUAAUGCUGAUUUUUAGCAUUACCUCUCUAAAUAUCUGGAAUUAAAUUAGAAUUACCAAACCAUUGGCAGGAUGUGGAAGAGCAAAGCUCAAACCUGAGUGAAUUUUUAUGGAAAUAUUCAACAUCAGCUGGAUGACCCAGCAGAGAAAGACACCACGUGGCUCCUGUGGGCUACUGAAGCAAGCAAUGGUUUAUUGUGAUUUGGUGGUUAUGUCCUGACCCUGGUGACAUCAUCAAGUGAUUUUAGGAGGAAGGUACUAAUUCCUGAGGGCUGGCCAACCUGAGAUCUCCAAAAUUAAUGUAAAAACCCUCCCAGAUGCCAAGAAUCAAUGAUGUAAAAAUUAAUGAAAAUAAGAAC